UACGAAGGGGGCCAGCGUUGUUCGGAAUUACUGGGCGUAAAGCGUGCGCAGGCGGCUUCUCAAGUCAGGGGUGAAAGCCCAGAGCUCAACUCUGGAAUUGCCUUUGAGACUGAGUGGCUUGAGUACGAGAGAGGUGAGUGGAAUUCCCAGUGUAGAGGUGAAAUUCGUAGAUAUUGGGAAGAACACCGGUGGCGAAAGCGGCUCACUGGACCACAACUGACGCUGAGGCGCGAAAGCUAGGGGAGCGAACAGG
rnacentral:rRNA from 1 species